rnacentral:lncRNA from 1 species
UAGUUUACCUUUAGUACUGGUCUAUAAACUAACCUACCACUGUCUACAUGUUAUAGUUUACCUUUAGUACUGGUCUAUAGACUAACCUACCACUGUCUACAUGUUAUAGUUUACCUUUAGUACUGGUCUAUAGACUAACCUACCACUGUCUACAUGUUAUAGUUUACCUUUAGUACUGGUCUAUAGGCUGUAUGAGUUAGACAGUGACACACAACACGUUCAACCGAAAAUGUCCAUUCAUCCAUAUUCCAAGACUUCCUUUAGCUUUGCAUUCAUCCCUUCAUUAGGUCUUUCAUCCUGUCUCCUUACUUUAUGUAUCUAUCCAUUUAUAUAUCCUUUUUUAUUCAGCUAUCCAUCCAGUCUUAAAUGAAAAAGCCAUUGAAAAUGAAGAAAUGUAUGGUUGAAGGGAGGUUACUAUAGCUCAAACACACUUCUAAAUGUCUUCCACUAGAUGCACCAUCAUACUUCGCUCCCCAAAUGAAAGCCUAAAACAUUUCUAAUUCCUUAUGAGUAUUACAGCUUGCAUUACAGAAUUGUUCUACUACCAAUCAAGAGGUACAGUUUUAGUAACCGCAUCACCUAAUUUAUCUAACUUUCCACAGUUGAAUUAACUGCCAUGGAACUUUUCAGAACUUUCAAAUUAUAACAAUGGGGGAGCACAUAAGAUUUAUGUCACAGAGCUUACUCCAGCCCAAUAAACUAAUCUACUGCUGUUUGUCUACAUGUUAUAGUUUACCUUUAGUACUGGUUUGUUGGCUGCCUUACACAGUACUAAACUGUGGUUUCCAAGUAGGAGAGUAAACGUGUAGUAAUCUUAUUUGUGAUGAAAUAUGUGAUCCACUGCCCCACACGCCCAAAUUAUUAAGGUUAAUAGUCUAUCAAAGUAACCAGACAUUUAUAUAUUUAACUUUGACUAUAUUUCACCGCUUCACUUAGAAUGUUUUAAAAACUUCUUCCAUGACCACAAAAAUACUUUGAAAGAGCUGAAGCAAGUCACACAAAUUUUUUUUAUGAAAAAUGACAAUCUAUUUUUACUCCAAUGUUUGUAAACAAACACUGUAAAGCCUCGUAACAUGGUUAAAACUACACAUUUGGUAUCAUGGAUGGUCAGUCCUUGCAUCCAUAGAUCCGUUUAUGAAUUUGAGAUUGGUUACACUUCUCCAGCCCCAUCCCUAAGCAGCUUUUUUGUAAAGAUUUUUGUUGGUACUUUUGACCCGUUUCGUGAUCUCCAAAUUGGUAGUUAGUCUUGUCCCGUCGCUGCAACUCCCGUGUGAGAGAGUGAGUGAGUGAGUGAGUGAGUGAGUGAGUGAGUGAGUGAGUGAGUGAGUGUGAGAGAGAGCCAUGCGUCCUCUGAAACAUGACCCUGCCAAGCUGCACUGCUUCUUGACGCACUGCUCGCUUAACCCUGAAGCCAGCCGCACCAACGUAUCGGUGGAAACACCAUACAGCUGGGGACCAAAGUCAACGUGCAUGCCUAAAGCGAGUCGCUAGAGCGCAAAUGGGACAAGAACAUCCCAGCAGGCCAAACCCUCCCCUAAUCCGGACGACGCUGGGCCACUUGUGCACCGGUCAUGGGUCUCCCGGUUGCGGCCGGGAGCCCUGGAUCGAACCCGGAUCUGUAGUGAUGCCUCCCCCUUAGCUUUUUAGGUAAACAGGAGCACGCUUUGCUAUUGUUUCAAUGAAGGAUUCUGGCUUUAAAAUGUCAAAUAAAGAAAACACAAAGUAGAUAGAUAUUAAGCAAUAGCAAUUUAUUUAAACAUAACCAAUCCUAAGCCACAACACUGAAUGACAAGACUCAAAUGCUGUAGCAUACAUUGUAUAAAAUCGAUCAGGUUUCAAUGCCUUGGUUUGUUAAGUUUCUCCUGUAUUGUCAGAAAGGUCAAUGCAGAUUACGCUGUUUCACUAAAAUCAUUAAAUCAUGUCUUUUAUUCAUUUUUGUAACAUUUUGUAAGAAAUAACCAUUCAGUAGCACACAAUUAUAUAACAAGGCAAAGUGCUUUCAAGGAUUGCAUUGUCACAAAAUAAUGAACAAGUUGGAGAUUUGUUCAGGGCUGGAAGGGUAUUUGUGUGUGUCUCUUUUAGGGAAUAGAUCUCUAACCCCUAUUACUGUAUCUCACAUUGCUAUGCUUCAGUCAAAAAGUCGAAGGUCGUUUGGUUGGGAGAGGUGAUCGGAGUUGUGGUAGCAUGAUCACAAAUUAAGGUCUAGAUUUGUUUUUCCUUUUGAAGGCUUAAGGCUGGAUGCAAUAAGAUUUCCCUUCACAAACACCACAUGCGACAUAUAUCCAUAAUUUGACUUCAAUAACAGCUUUAGUUAUUUGUUGCUUUUGUAAUUAAGUUAGAUGCGCACACAUUCUCCCAAUCUCUGGUAGUUGUACACACAGUUGCAGCUGUAAACUAGACUUUUAGACGUAUGGCCCAACUUACACACUUACAGUAAAGACCCACCAUACUAUGAAAAACAGGAUGAUUACUGGUGGAUAAAGGAUACUUUCAGGAGGGGGUUUAAAAAGCAAUCAUAAAGUACCUUGUUGCAACAAGUAUCUGAAGGAUAGCAAACAUGUACCAGAGACGAGGUUCACAUGUAUGCUACAACAGUUAGACCUUAAAAGAGAUUUAAUUCAAUCAUAAUACAGUUUGGCUUCACAUUCCAGUGGUUGUUGGGAUAUCAUUUUUCUUUCCAUGUUACAAGCGCAAGUACACACACACACACACAAAAUCAAGCUCACUUUUUUUUGUCUUUUAGAUCAAAAGUGAUUAAUAUGCGUUCAUAUUUUUCAGACACUAGUAUACAGUGAGCUACAAAAACAAAGAGUAGCUGUGCAUCAAGGAGGUAGGCAAAAUAAAACAUGAUCAUAUCAAUUACAUUAGUAGUAAAAGUAACUUUCAAAAUAGCAUGGACAUUUGAGGUGAGACCAUUUGUUUUAAUUUAAAUGUAUUAAUUGUAACUGAUAUAUUUUUGAGGUAAUAUGGAUUCAAAAAUCACACGCUAAUAAAACUUAUAAGAAAUGUUUACUGAACGCUCUAGAAAAUACUGAAUGCAGGCAUGCUCAAGCUCUUCACCAGGCAGCAGUACUUCAAAACAGAGCCUAAGGUGCCAAAGAGAAAGCAUUUCAUGCACUUCCACACUUUCAACCUCCUAAUUUAUAGUUUGGCCUAAAUGAAGCACAAUAACACUUUCAUGAUCACCUACAGUUCAUGCUGAAGUCACAUGGGAAGUCAUCGGCUUGGCAUAUUUUAUCCCUUCUACGGACUACAACCAGAUAGGGACUAUUAGUGGUUAAAAUAUCUGCCUAACAUUCAACUUUUUGACCAAUUACUAACUUUAACCCGAAACUUCCAAGACGGUGAAAAAAAAUUGCAGCGAAACAAGAAGCCAAUGAAAUUCUAGCAGAGGCAAUAUGGACAGUCAAAGCACAUAAUAAUUCAAGGUUGUAGCCCGUAGACCGGGCUUGUGUUACAUUUUGCUUGGCUGGUCUAUUGGAGUAAACAAAUCCUAGCGUAAUACAAAGCAAUGUCCAAUGAUUUUGAAUCAAACCGAGACGCCCUCCUGAAUAAGACGCUAAUAUAUCCAGAACCAAAAUAAAAGGACUACCAACCACCAACGUCAAGCGUUCAAUUACACCAGUGCUUUAAAUGUCAUUCAAAAGGUCUGUUAAUGCAUAUUAGGCUACCCCACAUAGCACAUAGGAUACUGUACUAGAAAGCAGUAAGCCUAACCUUACGUUAUCAUUUAUUUUCAAAUAUGCUCAAAUGAACAAUCAAAUUUAAAAGGAGUCAACCAAAAACUGUUACAGGCCAUUGCACCAGAAUCUUACGUACAUCACUUGUGUUUCAAAGGAAAUGUAUUUCACGUUAAUAAGAAAAAAAAGAAACAAUAUUCUUUACGGCAUUUAUGAACCAGGAAGUGGGUAAAGAAAUACAAUAGACAGGAAUGAAUACACACUUUUUCUUUGCCCUUUUUCUGAUAGCGGUUCAUAUUACCGUCGCACACUCUUGACCUCAUACUCACUAAUGAAGACAUGACAGCUAACUGCCCAAAUCAUCACACACGAACACACUUAAAAACACAGAACUCUAUGCCUACUCACUGUACUAUAAAAGUAAUCAAAACAUUGUUAAGUUUUAUGGCAUAGCAAUCCUUGUCCACAAAAUACAAUCUUCUUCCACCACCUAUUCUUAGGACAUGUUGCAGUACAGAGAACAAGCUAUAUACACACACACACACACAACUAAAGGGGUUGCAUACAAACUAGCCUAUAAAAUGCCUAAGCCACAACUUUUAAUUCGUGAUUAUCUUAAAUCUGUUCAUUUUGUAGAAGGGGGGGUUAUACAGACGACAACUAAAACUACAUCCCGAUCAAAUCAACAUACCGCUAAAAUGGUACUACAAAUGUCACAACUAUAAGUCUUGCUUUAUAAUAAUUUACCAUGUUAAUUUCAAUACCAUUUAGUUAAGUAAAUCAACAACAAUCUCUACACACUACUCUGUCUGAAGUGCAGUUUAGUGAUGUUGUGCUUAGAACACCCAACAAAGUGCACUUGCCAAUAUUGCUUUUAUUAUGAAUUCACACUAAAACUCCAGUAUUAUCACUACUGGGAUUCAACACUAUUUCAAUGUGUUUUUUCAGGUCCCUUGACAAAUAUGGCAGGCAAGCAAGCAAGACAAAGGCAAGAAUCAAACGAGAGCAAAAUAAACUACAGUCAAGUUGUACAUCCAGAGGGUGUUUGGAUUCAUGACAUCAGCAUGAGUGUUUCUUUGUAUAUUUCUCCAACCAAUUAACAAUUGCUCGAGGAGUUGAAGCCACAGUGGACGACAUGGAUGAUAAGACUGGGAAGCACUAGAAUCAUGUUGUGUUUUGAAUUAACAACAAUGGCUCACUGGCUUCACCGGGUCUGUAAUUGUGAGCAGUUGUGUUCCUGGGAGGUGUGACCUCCACUUUUAUCAACAAUAAGGCUUUCAAUUGGCAUGAACGGAAGACCAUUUUGCUGAUGUGUAAAAUAAAAACUUUUUUUUCAAGGACUUGGUUUUCGCUCAAUGGUUUUGUAAGGACACAGUUUAGUAUGCCCGUCUGUAUCACGACAAAGUGUCAGUCAGGAUUGUAUUUGGUGGUAAUAGAGGAGCUGAGUUUCGCAGUUUACAAGGUAACAUUCUUUAACUAUAACAAUUUUGACCAGCCAUGUGACAUACAGUAUAUGAAGAAAUACACAGAAGUCUCAUAAAUAAGUUACUUUAUGAUGUGGAUCUAAAACAACUUCCGGUCCAAGACAUUUCUCUCCUUUGGUUGCCUAUCGAGGCAUUUCUUUAAUGGAAAUACCAUGAUUCAAUAUCCUAAUUUAACCUUUAUUUACCCAGGCAAGUCAGUUAAGAACAAAUUCUUAUUUUACAAUGACGGGCUACCCCGGCCAAACCCUCCCCUAACCCGGACAAAACUGGGCCAAUUGUGCGCCGCCUUGUGGGACUCCCAAUCAUGGCAGUUUGUGAUACAGACCCAGGAUCGAACCCGGGUCUGUAGUGCCUUAGACCAGUGCGCCACCCAGGAUUCCUACUUGCAUUGCCCCAUCCAAUGGGUGGCUGUCAAGAAGCAGUCGAGUCAUAAAACCAUCAAAUCAAAGAAGAAGAAAAAAAAGUGACAAAAAUAGUUGCAUAAUAUGUAUCACAUUUACUCUCCAAUGAGGUCCAAUAUAUCAAUAAAAUGCACUGGUUUGGGUAAAAAUCAUUGCGAGACAUAACAUCUUGAGGUAAGCUGUUCAAUGUCUGAUAACGGCUAAUCAAGUAAUACAUGAAGGCAGACAAAAAUAGUGUGGACAUUACUAUCCACUAAGGAGACAACACCAGUGCAUCCCUCUAUAGUCUUUUUGGAGGGUCAACUCAGUAACUGUCCUUGAAGAGGAAGAGAAGACAGACAAAAGAAAGCAAUUGGUGGGUCUACAUUGUCUCUGAAGUAUUUCAAAGAAGCCAAAUACUGUUAGAGAAUAAAGUCAACCCAUAUCAGUUUGCUUUGUUUUGAACAAGUUACUAAGCCUUAACUAACUUCAGAGGCACAAGAGUGACAAACGUAAUCAAACAAGUCAGGACCAGACAACAUGGGCCACACAACCUGAGGGUCGAAUAGCAGAAAAGUGGGACCGACAGUUUGGUUCAAGAAUUUGAAUAAGCAUGUAAAUCUUGUCAACGUAGUAGUAGUUGUACAACAUAAACAAAUGAAUAAUGAAGCCAUAAACAUAGCCUAGAAGCUAUAAAAAUCAAGAAUCUUAACAUGGUCAGACAUGCUAUCUUCUCUAAGAAACAUUUUGUCUACAUAGAGAUAGGACGGACAUGCAGCAGUUGGAAUCAUGGAAGAACUUAAUAGUGUGCUUCACGCAUGAAUCUGGACAUUGAAGAUGACAUAAUUCUGUCAAUUUCAAGAGGUGUUUGUUUUGGUGAUCAAAUGUAAUUUAUGACUAUAAACGUCAUGAGAUGAAUGAAUCUUGUUUAAUCCAUUUAAUAUGAUGUACCGCUUUUUUACAUGCUUACUUUUUUUGAGAAAAUUGUAGCCAUUUAUUUUCAACAAAUUCUAAUAACAAAGAAAGCUCUAAUUCUGCAGUUUAUAUUAUGCUUGGAGAAGAGGAAAUGUUCACGGUGUUCUCUUGAUUUGAAAGAAUCCUUUCAAAAUGGGAAUAAAAAACUUUUAAAAAAGGUAACUGCCUAGCUAUUGCCUUAAUCCAAUGCGUUUUCAAGUAAUGAAGGACAUCGAUGUCCUAGAGGUAAGUGGGAGAUAUCCCAGAGGACUGUGUUACAGACAGCAUCACCAUGGUGAUCACUGGCAUAACUAAAAGAAACCAACAUGCUCUUUGUUUCAAACUUCUAUCCCUUCCACACCUAAUUUAGAGGUUAUUGAAUGAGCAUGACAUAAGUGUUCGAUACCAUAUGAAUGCUUUCUCACUAGAAGGACCAUAGUGUCUCAUCAAGAUAAAGGCAGCUACAUUUGGCCACUAUAUCAAUAGUGUAUGUUCUUCCUAUUCUCCAAUUUCAACGCGACCCUACUUAGUCUCUCUUCCCACUCACAUAUCUGAUGGCAACAUUUUGUCAGUUGCCCAACAUCCAUAAGUACUCUUAAUCUAUACAUAACAAACAAAAAGGAAUGAAAUGAAGAUGUGCUGAAUCUGUUUCCUUCCAAAGUUUUCAAUAGUUCUUUCCAACUUCUCCUGUAACUCAGUUAACAGUACGCUGACUCAACUACUUCUGUGCAAUUUUACCAUCUUCUACCCUACUACCCAUACUGCUUUUUCAAAAUACAACUUGAUCAGUCUUCCACCAUGCACAUUCACAAUUAUCUAAUGCUAUCCAUUUCACUCCAUCCACUGGCCAAAGCGCCCAUGUCUCUCAUUCCUACAAACUGAAGCAUUUUGAGAAAGUUGUCCAUCUUUGCCAUUUGAGCCAUUGUAAGGUAUUAUCGUCCUUAGUCCUUUACAACAACAAAAAAAUUCUACACAGAUGCAUUUCCAUACCAUACUGAUAAUAACAUUUCAGAUGUUGCAUGUGAGACAUCAACCAAAAAUGGUGUCUAAUUGAUACAUUAGUAAAUGCAUUAGAUGCUAUCCAGAAUUACAAUUCUACCUUCAUAAAAAAGGAUAAAUUAUAAAGGAUCUAAUCCUCUUAAAAAAAUUUAAAAAAAACUUGUUCCUCUUUGUGCUGAGCAUCACACAAAUACCAUCUCCACUGAGAAUCAAAGACAAUUCCUUUUUUCGUAGACAAACAGGGAUUUCUAGGGCACUUGUGAGUCUAGGUAACAGAAUGGGGUGUUAUUAAGGUAGACUGUUUCGAUGGACAAAAACGGACACAUUCCCAAAAUGUAAAAAUCGGCUAUGCGCUACAAACAAAAUAUAGAGUACAAAAAAACAACUAUACAUCAUUUCAGAGAGGUUUUGUAAGGCAAACUUGAUAGCAGUCCAUGGUGAGUCCAUGGUUAACAGGAGGGAUAGCAGUCCAUGGUGAGUCCAUGGUUAACAGGAGGGAUAGCAGUCCAUGGUGAGUCCAUGGUUAACAGGAGGGAUAGCAGUCCAUGGUGAGUCCAUGGUUAACAGGAGGGA